rnacentral:misc_RNA from 1 species
GGAAGUAAAAGUCGUAACAAGGUUUCCGUAGGUGAACCUGCGGAAGGAUCAUUAAAAAUGAAGCCGGGAAACCGGUCCUUCUCACCCAUGAUUAUCUCAAUUUGUUGCUUUGGUGGGCCGCGCAAGCACCGGCUUCGGCUGGAUCGUGCCCGCCAGAGGACCACAACUCUGUAUUAUAUGUCGUCUGAGUACUAUAAGAUAGUUAAAACUUUCAACAACGGAUCUCUUGGUUCUG